GUGUAGGAGGUUGGGUAAGUCAGGUGUGAAAUCUCAGAGCUUAACUCUGAAACUGCGCUUGAUACUGCUCAGCUAGAGGAUCGGAGGGGGUAACGGAAUUCAUGGUGUAGCAGUGAAAUGCGUAGAUAUCAUGAGAAACACCGGUGGCGAAGGCGGUUACCUGGAAGAUUCCUGACUCUGAAACACGAAAGCCAGGGGAGCAAACGGGAUUAGAUACCCCGGUAGUCCUGGCCGUAAACGGUGUGCAUUGGGCGUAUGCGGAUUCGACCCCGUAUGUGUCGUAGAUAACUCAUUAAAUGCACCGCCUGGGAAGUACGGUCGCAAGAUUAAAACUCAAAGAAAUUGA
rnacentral:rRNA from 1 species